rnacentral:sRNA from 1 species
GACCUUCCCGGUGCCUCCGCCGGGCGCCCAGGGUGUAGCGGAGCUGCUGCGAGAUGCGACCGGGGCGGAGGAGGAGCCCUGGGCGGCGACGGAGCGGGGAAUGCCGGGCCAGUGCUCCGUGCUGCUCUUCCCGGGCCAGGGCAGCCAGGUGGUGGGCAUGGGCCGCGGUCUGCUCAACUACCCGCGCGUCCGCGAACUCUACGCCGCCGCCCGCCGCGUGCUGGGCUAUGACCUACUGGAGCUGAGCCUGCAUGGGCCGCAGGAGACCCUGGACCGCACCGUGCACUGCCAGCCCGCGAUCUUCGUGGCAUCGCUGGCCGCUGUCGAGAAACUACAUCACCUGCAGCCCUCGGUGAUUGAGAACUGUGUUGCUGCUGCUGGAUUCAGUGUGGGAGAGUUUGCAGCCCUAGUGUUUGCUGGAGCCAUGGAAUUUGCUGAAGGUACAGGAAGGAGUUUGGUUUUAUGCAAGGCUCUGGUCUUGGGCUCAUUAGGGGUAAGGGACACUGCCAAAAAUGAUACUGGACCCACUCAGAUGAUGGGAAGGGA